UAUUUGCUUGCCUUUACCGGAAGUUUGGGCAAAUCCCUAAGUACGAUCCGGAAGUCCACCACCUGUUUUUGACACACAACUUAGUGCACCAAUUUCACAUAACCAGGCUCAUAAACGACGCCGCACCUACGCACAAACUCAAACCCCGCCGCGGGUUACAUCUCUCCCCACACCCACCAAACUGCAGCGGCGCUGCUUAAUAAUUUCAUAACUUCAAAAUUAUGACAGCAUUGGUAACAAACAAAAACUCCAGAGGCAUCUACAUAAAAUUCCCCACAAGUUUUGUAUACAAUUUAUAAUUAAAUUCCAACAUCUAAUUAGCCCAAAACAGUUCACAAGAUGCACCCUGUAAUCUGUUUUUUUCUCUUUUGGACAGCGACAUACCCGGAUUCAAACAGCGAUAUCUUUUAAAAUAUAAUUCCAAUUCAAGCGCAUAAGUACUCAUUGGAAAGAUAAGACAAAGCCAUACAUGAUUAUCAUACUGGUUAGCACUAAUUAACCACGAAAAAUUCCCAGAAAUUGCUAAUACUACUGCUGUUCACCCACCUGAAAAAUCUGUUUUUUUUUUACAGCAACAUACCCGGAUUCAAACAGCGAUAUCUUUUAAAAUAUAAUUCCAAAUCAAGCACAUAAGUACUCAUUGGAAAGAUAAGACAAAGCCCUACAUGAUUAUCAUACUGGUUAGCACUAAUUAACCACGAAAAAUUCCCAGAAACUGCUAAUACUACUGCUGUUCAUCCACCUGAAAAAUCUGUUUUUUUGGACAGCAACAUACCCGGAUUCAAACAACGAUAUCUCCUAAAUUAUAACUCCGAAUCGAGCGCAUAAGUACUCGUUGGAAAGGUAUGACAAAGCUCUACAUGAUUAUCCCACUGAUUCCCACUAAUUACCCCACGAAAAUUCCCAGAAAUCCCUAGAACUACUGCUGUUCACCCACUCACAAAAUUCCUGGACAGCACCUCUACCGAUUCGCAAAGAUAAACACAUAAUCCAAUUGAUUGCAGCACAAAAACAACAAAAGUUAAUCACAAAUUCACCUUAGGUUCUUCCCUUCCUCCUUCCUUCUUCCUCCCUCCAAACUCCAAUUGAGAUCGCAGCCACACGACGGAGAACCACACGGGAGGGCUGCACCUUGGAGGAGGGGGAGAAAUGGGGGGGCGGCUAGGGUUUUGGGUGGUGAGGGCUGCAAAGAUUUGAGGAGGAAGAAGAUGGGAGAGGGGGGGGCGUCCAAGAGAAAG
rnacentral:lncRNA from 1 species